ensembl:miRNA microRNA 29b-2
CCUCUGGAAGCUGGUUUCACAUGGUGGCUUAGAUUUUCCCACUUUGUAUCUAGCACCAUUUGAAAUCAGUGUUCUAGGAG